rnacentral:rRNA from 1 species
GGAGCGUUUGCUCCAGCUGAGAAGCGGCCGUUGUGAGACGCCGUGGAGCGGAGCGAAGUGCGAAUGCCGGCAUGAGUAGCGUAAGGCGCGUGAGAACCGCGCCCGCCGUAUACCUGAGGUUUCCUACGGAAGGUCAAUCCGCGUAGGGUUAGUCGGGCCUAAGCCGAGGCCGAAAGGCGUAGGCGAUGGACAGCUGGUUAGUAUUCCAGCACCGCAGUGGUAGCGUUUGAUGCAGAGGGGGGACCCAGAAGGGUAGGUCUCGCGGGCCUAUUGGACAUGGUCCGUUCCUGGUCUGUAGGCGUCUCCGGGUAGGCAAAUCCGCCCGGGGGUUAAGCAGAGGGGCCGGGAGAAGUGGAGACUUGUCAAAGCGACGAGAUUGAGCCCACGCUGGCGAGAAAAGCCUCGCUGCUAGUUACCAUCGCGCCCGUACCGCAAACCGACACUGGUAGGUGGUGGUGAGAACCACAAGGCGAACGGGAGAACCCUCCUUAAGGAAUUCGGCAAAUUAGAUCCGUAACUUCGGGAGAAGGAUCGCCCCUGGAGGUGUACCGGUAUAA